UUGGUCAGGUCGGAUAUCCGGGCACUUUACUGAAGAGCGUUGCCUAGCAAUAAGCCGAGGUGAAAACAGACGCCAUUUUGUAUUUAGCGACAGUCGUUGUUUUUUGCUGCAUUUUGUAGAAUUGAACGAAUAAUUGAAUAUUUUUCGCCAUGCCAACGAUUUGAAGUGUUGCUGGAUGCAAUAUUCAUUUGGAAGAAAGAAAAAUAUAAUAAAAUACUUUACCAUAUGUGACUAGAAACAAGGAUCGACGAUACGGCGAUUGAGAAGCGGAUACGGCGUGUGGCUCAAAUGGGAAACCGAUUACUGAUCAAACCAGUUCCAACCAGUUUCAAAUGGACAGUAAACCACUUUUUAAAAAUACUUAAUUGGCACCCUAGCUGUGUAUUAAUCAGAUUAUCACUAGUAUCUUUUUCAAAUACAAUAUACCACCCCUAGGGCAUCAUGUGACAUUCCGGAGGGCUUAAUUGGACCACAUGUUUAUAACUUAUUUGCUAAUUGUGAUUAUCUGAACUGAUUAAGAGAUAAAAGACAUGUUUUAAUAAAUAACAAAUCCUUUGUCUUCA